rnacentral:rRNA from 1 species
UACGUAGGGGGCAAGCGUUGUCCGGAAUCAUUGGGCGUAAAGAGCGUGUAGGCGGCUCGGUAAGUCCGCUGUGAAAAACCUAAGGCUCAACCUUGGGGCUUGCAGUGGGUACGGGGCAGACUAGAGUGCGGUAGGGGUGACUGGAAUUCCUGGGUGUAGCGGUGGAAUGCGCAGAUAUCAGGAGGAACACCGAUGGCGAAGGCAGGUCACUGGGCCGCAACUGACGCUGGAGGAGCGAAAGCAUGGGGAGCGAACAGG